AGAGUUUGAUCCUGGCUCAGGAUGAACGUUGGCAGUGUGCCUAAGACAUGCAAGUCGAACGAAGCGCUAGUGCGGAACUCUUCGGAGGGAAGGAUUAGUGACUGAGUGGCAAACGGGUGAGUAACACGUGGAUGACCUACCCUGAAGUGGGGGAUAACCUUGGGAAACCAGGACUAAUCCCGCAUGUGCUUGUUGGUUGUGACUAACAAGGAAAGAUUUAUCGCUUUAGGAUGGGUCCGCGGGCCAUCAGCUAGUUGGUGAGGUAAAGGCUCACCAAGGCAACGGCGGCUAGCCGGCCUGAGAGGGUGAACGGCCACAGGGGUACUGAGACACGGACCCCACUCCUACGGGAGGCAGCAGUUAGGAAUCUUCCACAAUGGGCGCAAGCCUGAUGGAGCGACACUGCGUGAGGGAAGAAGGCUUUCGGGUUGUAAACCUCUAAAAGUAGGACGAUAAUGACGGUACUACCUGAGAAGCACCGGCUAACUCCGUGCCAGCAGCCGCGGUAAUACGGAGGGUGCAAACGUUAUCCGGAAUCACUGGGCGUAAAGGGCACGCAGGCGGUUAGUUAAGUCCGAUGUUAAAGCGUGGGGCUCAACCCCAUACGGGCGUUGGAUACUGGCUAACUAGACUCUUGGAGAGGUAAGUAGAAUUACCAGUGUAGCGGUGG
rnacentral:rRNA from 1 species